rnacentral:rRNA from 1 species
GACGAACGCUGGCGGCGUGCUUAACACAUGCAAGUCGAACGCUGAAGCUUGGUGCUUGCCCUGGGUGGCUGAGUGGCGAACGGGUGAGUAAUACGUGAGUAACCUGCCCUUGACUCUGGGAUAAGCCUGGGAAACUGGGUCUAAUACUGGAUACGACAUGUCACCGCAUGGUGGUGUGUGGAAAGGGUUUUACUGGUUUUGGAUGGGCUCACGGCCUAUCAGCUUGUUGGUGGGGUAAUGGCUCACCAAGGCGACGACGGGUAGCCGGCCUGAGAGGGUGACCGGCCACACUGGGACUGAGACACGGCCCAGACUCCUACGGGAGGCAGCAGUGGGGAAUAUUGCACAAUGGGCGGAAGCCUGAUGCAGCGACGCCGCGUGAGGGAUGACGGCCUUCGGGUUGUAAACCUCUUUCAGCACGGAAGAAGCGAAAGUGACGGUACGUGCAGAAGAAGCGCCGGCUAACUACGUG